rnacentral:rRNA from 1 species
GCGUACCAUUAGUUAGUUGGUGGGGUAAAGGCCUCCCAAGGCGACGAUGGUUAGUUGGUCUGAGAGGAUGAUCAGCCACACUGGAACUGGAACACGGUCCAGACUCCUACGGGAGGCAGCAGUGAGGAAUUUUGCGCAAUGGGGGAAACCCUGACGCAGCAACGCCGCGUGAGUGAUGAAGGCUUUCGGGUCGUAAAGCUCUGUCAAGUGGGAAGAAGUUGUGUAUGGCUAAUAUCUGUGCACAUUGACGGUACCACUGAAGGAAGCACCGGCUAACUCCGUGCCAGCAGCCGCGGUAAUACGGAGGGUGCAAGCGUUAUUCGGAUUUACUGGGCGUAAAGGGCGCGUAGGCGGCUUGAUAAGUCAGUCGUGAAAGCCCGGGGCUCAACCCCGGAAGUGCGAUUGAAACUAUUUGGCUUGAGUAUGGUAGAGGGAAGUGGAAUUCCUGGUGUAGCGGUGAAAUGCGUAGAUAUCUGGAGGAACACCGGUGGCGAAGGCGACUUCCUGGACCAAUACUGACGCUGAUGCGCGAAGGUGUGGGUAGCAAACAGGAUUAGAUACCCUGGUAGUCCACACAGUAAACGGUGAUCACUAGGUGUUGCGGGUAUUGACCCCUGCAGUGCCGGAGCUAACGCAUUAA